GUAGCAUUCCUAGAAAGCAUCCACGUCACUAUUUUUUUCCCAUUCGGAAUAAUGCUAUUCUUGGGUGGACUUAAUGGUAGGUCCCACCAGUUUUGUCAUCACCUUGCAUCUUCCUCUUUCCCAACCUCUCAUCUUCCAUCGUCACUGCUGAGUUCACUUUCUUCUUCCUCUUCUUCCUGAAAACCAAAUCUAGAUCGGUAGCAAGAAGGAUUCAAAAAAACAUCAAUGACUCAGUUUCAUCCUCGAUUUUUUUUACCACCAUUGAACAAAUCUAAAGAAGCACUUGACCCUAUCACUCUCCCUCACCACCAUCGAGUCUCUGGGCUCACGAUGUUCUUCAAUUCGAGCUAGUGCUUCUCCGUCGUUGAUUUCAUUUUGUUAAGAUCGCUCUUCCUCUUCCUCUCAUGGCUUUACCUAAGUUUCUUCUUCUCUCUCUCUCACUUGCCGAGACCUUAUUCACCGAGAUCCCUUGUUCGUGUUUCCAUUUGUAGUUUCUCCUCUCACGCCUAGGGUUUCAUUUGUCAAGGCUUCAAAGGGGUAUGGAUCGUUAACUCUCCUUUCCUUGAAGCAACAAAUCUAUGCUGGCUGCCUUCCGAUUUCAUGAGUCUGGGGAUCCCAUCAUUUUGAAGAAGCACGAAGAUGUCGAUGGACCUUCUUUGGUUGGGUAAACUGCCUCUGGAGGGCAGAUUGCUGGUAUAAUAUUGUCGAAUGUGUGAAUUUGAGAUGAUGAUCUACCUCUGAAGCACAAAGAAAUCAAUAAAUCCUCUAUAUUUCUCUUUUGUAAAUUUCUGCUAAAUUGAUGGAAAAAUUUUAUUUGCCUUA